rnacentral:rRNA from 1 species
GAUGAACGCUGGCGGCGUGCCUAAUACAUGCAAGUCGAGCGAACAGACGAGGAGCUUGCUCCUCUGACGUUAGCGGCGGACGGGUGAGUAAUACGUGGUUAACCUACCUAUAAGACUGGGAUAACUUCGGGAAACCGGAGCUAAUACCGGAUAAUAUAUUGAACCGCAUGGUUCAAUAGUGAAAGACGGUUUUGCUGUCACUUAUAGAUGGAUCCGCGCCGCAUUAGCUAGUUGGUAAGGUAACGGCUUACCAAGGCGACGAUGCGUAGCCGACCUGAGAGGGUGAUCGGCCACACUGGAACUGAGACACGGUCCAGACUCCUACGGGAGGCAGCAGUAGGGAAUCUUCCGCAAUGGGCGAAAGCCUGACGGAGCAACGCCGCGUGAGUGAUGAAGGUCUUCGGAUCGUAAAACUCUGUUAUUAGGGAAGAACAAAUGUGUAAGUAACUAUGCACGUCUUGACGGUACCUAAUCAGAAAGCCACGGCUAACUACGUG